rnacentral:rRNA from 1 species
CCUACGGGAGGGCUGCAGUGGGGAAUAUUGGACAAUGGGCGAAAGCCUGAUCCAGCCAUGCCGCGUGUGUGAAGAAGGCCUUCGGGUUGUAAAGCACUUUCAGUGGGGAAGAAAGCCUUGGGGCUAAUACCCUCGAGGAAGGACAUCACCCACAGAAGAAGCACCGGCUAACUCCGUGCCAGCAGCCGCGGUAAUACGGAGGGUGCGAGCGUUAAUCGGAAUUACUGGGCGUAAAGCGCGCGUAGGCGGUCUGAUAAGCCGGUUGUGAAAGCCCCGGGCUCAACCUGGGAACGGCAUCCGGAACUGUCAGGCUAGAGUGCAGGAGAGGAAGGUAGAAUUCCCGGUGUAGCGGUGAAAUGCGUAGAGAUCGGGAGGAAUACCAGUGGCGAAGGCGGCCUUCUGGACUGACACUGACGCUGAGGUGCGAAAGCGUGGGUAGCAAACAGGAUUAGAUACCCCAGUAGUC